GUUUGUGUAAAAAAACAAUGAAUUUGACUCUGGUUAAUCUUUGCUCUCAAAGGACAACACUCACUUAACAUAUAAAGAAUAAAAACAGAAAGGACAGUAAGAAAUAUAAAAAAUAAUAU